GGGGAGGGAAUGGAGUGAAAAGAAAGAAGAGUAGGUUAAAUAGAUCCAGUGCAGCGCCUGCAGAUCAAAGACCCCGUGCAGCAGGACGUGAGGAUGCAGUCCAUUGUCUGAGCUUGGGCUGCGGACGCAGACUCCCCCAGACUUGAGGCUCACCCCGCAGGCGUGUAUGUCUCACCCUGCUGCAGACCGGAAGUCUGAGACUGAGAUGUAGCUUCUGGUGAGACCUCUCUGCCUGAUGUGCAGGCGGCCCCCUUCUUGGGGUGUCCCCGCUUGGUGGAGAGGAGAGGGGGAGCCUGGGUCUCUCCUCCUGGUUUCACAAGGACCUUCAGCCCAUCAGGGGGGCCCCACACUCUUGACCUCAUCUCAGCCUCAUCCCGUCCCCAAGGCAUCACUUCCUAAUACCAUCACCCUGGGGACAACUGCUCUCCCACUUGUGAAUAAUAGAGGGGUACCCGCCAGUCCCUGGCACACAUAUUGUCAACACGCUGGCUCUCGAGGAGAGAUGCUGGGGGUCCUGUUGUGACACUAUAACUUAGGAAGCAGCUUCAAUCUGCCAUCUGGACACGGAGCCUCCCCCUUGGAUGAAAGCCCUGAGGGUUUCCUGGACACUUCUUAGGAGAAACGGAGCCAGUCCAUACUCGGGGCAUCAGACACGACGUAUGGUCAGAUUCCUCCUGGAAGCCGGAAUACCUCCUCUGCUUCUGCGCGAGGUCACGCCGUCUUCUCCGGCCUGUUUGUCGCCCUCUCCGUUGGCCGCUUCUCACUUGCCCCAGCCGGGCACCACGGGGCUCCCCAAAGUGCUGGUCCCGGCCCAGCCCCCUCAGGCUCUCCAAAUGGGAGGGGAGCCUUCCACCUUUUUUUGGCAGGAGGCUUCUGG
rnacentral:lncRNA from 1 species